rnacentral:rRNA from 1 species
GAUGAACGCUGGCGGCGUGCCUAAUACAUGCAAGUCGAGCGAACGGACGAGAAGCUUGCUUUUCUGAUGUUAGCGGCGGACGGGUGAGUAACACGUGGAUAACCUACCUAUAAGACUUGGAUAACUUCGGGAAACCGGAGCUACUACCGGAUAAUAUUUUGAACCGCAUGGUUCAAAAGUGAAAGACGGUCUUGCUGUCACUUAUAGAUGGAUCCGCGCUGCAUUAGCUAGUUGGUAAGGUAACGGCUCACCAAGGCAACGAUGCAUAGCCGACCUGAGAGGGUGAUAGGCCACACUGGAACUGAGACACGGUCCAGACUACUACGGGAGGCAGCAGUAGGGAAUCUUCCGCAAUGGGCGAAAGCCUGACGGAGCAACGCCGCGUGAGUGAUGAAGGUCUUCGGAUCGUAAAACUCUGUUAUUAGGGAAGAACAUAUGUGUAAGUAACUGUGCACAUCGUGACGGUACCUAAUCAGAAAGCCACGGCUAACUACGUG